AGAAAAGUGAUCAGGACCACUCCCGAUGCAUGGCUUCCCCAUCUCUUCCUGGGUAGGCCCUCUUGGGGAAAUAUCCCCACCUCUGUACCCAUGAUUGAGUCUUUAGGCAUAGAUAUCUUACUAAAGGAAUUUUUUGCUACCCUCCAUUCUUAGGGUUGUGACUUUCAGAGGAGAAAAUUCUCAGAACAGAUUAAAGCAGGUUAAACUCCAAGUUGCCAAUUUUCAUUGCAUAAGAAAUGAUUUCAUCAAGAACAUUGUGAUGAUACUCUUUAAAUAUUUAAUUGAGUAUGUAUUUAUACUUUCUAUACCCUUAUGUUAAAUAUCCUGUUACAGGAAAUGUUAAGAGUGGGAGAAAGGAAAAGGAUCUACUUAGUCAUUUCCUUUAGGCUUAAACUAUUUUCCAUCUUGAAAACACAAAUAGUAACAAUAUUCCAUGGUGCCUAACUUCUUUAGAAAAUCAUAUAUAAAAAUAUACAUAUAUAUGUGUGUAUGUGUGUAUUAUAUAUAUAGAAAUGUUCUUGGGUACCAUUUAAAUUUCUGGUUAUUUUUUCUUUAUAGUACAUUUGAAUGUUCCAAGUACAACCAUCAUUUUAUUUAACAACCAUUUAUUAAGCAACUACUGAGUUGCAAGUGCCACUGUAGAUAUACAUAAACAAAUAAAAUACAGUCCUGUCUUUUCAUAAAGGCUUUUAAUCUAGUGAGAUGGGGGUUACUGGGUUGAGUAGUGUCUCUCCAAAAUUAAUAUCUAUCUGAACCUCACAAUGCAACCUUAUUUGGAAAUAGGGUCUUUGCAGAUUUAAUUAAUUAAAUUAAGAUGAGGUUAGACUGGAUUAGGGCGAGCCAGGAAUGCCAAGGAUGGUGAGCAACUAUGAAGAGCAGGAGAAGGAAGGAAGAACGCCCUUACAGAGCUUUCAGAGAGAGCACAGCUCUGUAUAACACCUUGAUUGCAGACUUCUGGCUCCAGAAUGAUGUAUUUGAACUAAAAAAAAUAAAAACAUCUAAACCUACUUUAUGACUGCUAUAUAUUGACAUAAAAAGGAAACCAAACGGACAACAAAAGACACCAGGAAAUUGGAACUUCUUAGAUAAACAUAUGGCUUCUUCCUGCAGAGCAUCCCCUCAGUAAAUCAUGGCACCUGAAUCUCCAUCUUGGACUCUGCUUCUGAAAACUGAACAUGAAACAGUAUAAGUCCAGGGUAAAUAAGGAGGGUGGCAACAGUGUGAAGAAGCCAGCCUGGAGUUGGAACCAGAAGAUGAAUGGUUGAGGGGACUCUCUAAACUGGAACAAAUUGACAUAACAUUUGGAGCCACUUGAUCUCCUUGUGCAGGCUCAGCCACUUCUCAGUUACGAAGGUCCUUGGUGGGAAGGAUUUGAGGACAGCCACACCACACUGGAGGAGCCAGCUUCAAGAUACGUGUACUGUUCAUCCUCCUCAGAGAUGUGUCCACUUCUCCUGACUUGGGUUUUCUUUGUUUCUAAAACCCAGAAUUAAAAACAACUUUCUGAAAAUUGGCUUUGUCUUGGAAACAGGCCAAUGAACUUUCAUG
ensembl:lncRNA